CCUACGGGAGGCAGCAGUGGGGAAUAUUGCACAAUGGGGGGAACCCUGAUGCAGCGACGCCGCGUGAGUGAAGAAGUAUUUCGGUAUGUAAAGCUCUAUCAGCAGGGAAGAAAAUGACGGUACCUGACUAAGAAGCCCCGGCUAACUACGUGCCAGCAGCCGCGGUAAUACGUAGGGGGCAAGCGUUAUCCGGAUUUACUGGGUGUAAAGGGGGCGUAGACGGGUAUGCAAGUCUGAAGUGAAAGCCCAAGGCUCAACCAUGGGACUGCCGUUGAAACUGUAAACCUGGAGUGCAGGAGAGGUAAGCGGAAUGCGUGGUGUAGCGGUGAAAUGCGUAGAUAUCACGAGGAACACCGAUGGCGAAGGCGGCUUACUGGA
rnacentral:rRNA from 1 species